rnacentral:misc_RNA from 1 species
AAAAAAAAAAAAAAAAAAAGAGAUGGUGAAGUUACAAGUACAGAAAGUACAACAUGAAUGAUGAACCAUCAAAGUGUAGAAAUUAUAGUAUUAUGACUUGUCUUUCUUUCCUGCGUCAGAUCCAUCUUUCUUUCCAGCAAGAAUCAUAGAAAUCUGGAGGCCUCUGCUAAAGGCUUGAUUGAACAGCAGACGAGUUUGGAACUCUGACACAAAAGGAAACCAUGACAAAAUGGCUAUAGGCAUGAAGAGUAAUAGUCCCAUUAUAUACUCGUACGCUCUUGCUAGCUCCUUUAUUGAGUCCCAGAAUCCUAUCCUCUUGAACAAGCCCCUGCAUGCUUGCCCAAUCAGAAGAAGGGCCCAACCAGUGGGCAUGAACGCAAGGAUUGCAGCAAACAAAUCCGUUAUUGUGAGUCCAAAAACUAUGAAUAAGACUGCCAUGACUGACAUGAAGCCAAGGAAAAGAAGCGCCUUGAGAAUCCUGAACAUAAGCUGGAAAUCGAUACCAAAUCUUCGUCUACCCAUUGAUACCAACUGGCAGCAGCAUUGGAAUCACACAACACCAAUUCACAAAGUGAAUAUGUAUCUUAUGCAGAGAAAAGGAAACAAGAAUUUAAAUAUAUAAGAGACUUAAGGAAAAAGAUGCUCAUGUCAGCCACAUCUGAAAUACAAUAAUCUCAUAUAUGUGAAUUGUUGAAAACUUUUAUCCAGCUAUUACUCCCAUGUCUCUGUUCAAUUGGCAUACCUUUAAGACUAAAAGAGCAGUUAUCAUAACUAUCCAAGAAAGGCCAUAAACCAGCAAACUUUUGCUAUGGUGGGCUAUAUCAAGGUGGUAGACAAUGCCAUACUGAUAGAUAAAGAAACGAAAUGCAAGGAUUAUCUCAACCACCCGUCCCCUUAUAUUCGUGUGCCUGAGAUGUUCUUGUUCUCCAUCCCACCAAGAUUCCCAACUUUUGUCAGGAGGGAUCCCAAUACCACCCCUAUUGCCCAUCCACCUCUUCCAGUCUGUCCAAUCAUCCACUGUUUUUUGCCAGUCAAAACCAGAUGGGUUAAACACAAAAGGAGCAAACAACCAGGAUCCAACCAGAAACCACAUGGAGAAUGUGAUGAACCAAUAAAGAUUUGAACUGCGAUAUGAUUCACCAAAGACUUCAUACAAGACCAAAAGUAUAAUCAGCUCUAAUCCCUUUACAAAGUGACUUCGGGAGUAAGUUCUGUAGUUCUCAGCAAACUUCAUAUGGAAAACAACAAACCCACGUCCAGUUGCUCUGUACUUUGAUCCACCAUGCAAAAUUGUUCUCCCAAAAUAAUGUGCCUUUGUUCCCAGCUGGAAUGUGAAGAAUACAGAGGCCAACUGCAGCUGCAUAAUGACAAAAUCACCCAGAGCAGUGCGAAAGCCUUUCUCCAAGCCAAUCUCCAUGACCAUGGGCAGCACUAAUAUCAGGCCCAACUGAAAAACAGACUGAGUAGCUAAGGCCUCUUCAAGAGCCUUGCUCUGACGUAUGCUUGGGCUAGUAAGAAUCUCACUUUCUAAUCCACUCAUUACCAUGUAUAAACGCCCAUAUAAGAAUACAUAUACAGUAAGCACAGUUAUCUGAAAUGACAAAGAUCCAAAUUAAGUGACAAAUAUGCAGUUAUUGAAGCAGGAUUUUAUGGAUAUAUUGAAAUAGCAUCUAAAGAAAAGACGACUUUCUGACCAGGCAUCUCACUGUCAAUUCUUUUAUACUUUUACAAGACCAAAAUCGGUUUUGACAUGAUAUUUGAUAAACUGGGGCAGACAGUUCUUUUAUAUUAGCCAACUAAUGCAGAUAUUAAGUUCUAAAAGAAGCAAUGGCCAGAAUCUGAGUUUCUGAAAUGAAGCAAAAAUAUUGACGCAGCUCAGAUUUUUGUACUAGUCGAUGCCAACAGCUUGAAAUUUGAACAGUCAACACAAUGUUGCCAGUACCGACAAAAUAUGUUUUUACCAUGCAUGGAACAGAAUCCAAUCUAAUUCAUACAUAGCCCAAUCACCCAACUUUUACAGGGGCAAUCUAGUGAUUUGGUGUGUACGGUAAAUAUGAUUUAUAUAUCCCUCUUUGGAAGGUCUAAGACCAAUGUAUGAAGGAAGAUAGUGAAAAAGAGAGAAGGAAUUUUUACAAUCUGCAUCAGCUUGAAAGUGAUGACCAUAGCCUAGAUACUAUGAAAGCCCACUUUUUAAUGACUGAACUUCUUUGAUGACUAAUGAGCCAAAGUAACAAAAGACACAACAGCUAUCUUCUUGAUUCCAUUAACACAAGCUACUACCCAUCAAUGAUAUUUCCAUUUUCUCUCCAAUCCAACAGAUCAAAAGAUAUCCUCAUCAUUCAUAACAUUGAAGAUAUUCACAGGCAAUCUGACUAGAGGCUAAAACAAAAACUAGCUAGAUAAUAAAUUAAGAGACUAGUUUCAAAAGAAGACAAUAGAUAAAAAGAUCAGUUCAACAUACCAUGCUACUAAAAUAGAAACCAACAGUUGUAAAAUAGAACGACAGCAUUCUGUAGAAAUCAAAUCGACGUCCAAGUCGAUAUACAUCACGGCUAAGCGUCUGCUCUCCAUUUCCAUUUGCAACCUUUGCUUCAAACAAUGAUAUCUGAUUCAUUCCCACAUCACGCCCCUUGCCUACUUGGAUAUAUUCAUGAUGUGUUAUGUAUCCCCCUCGCAGAGUUGAAUUGAAACCUGAAAAUAUAUCCUCGCUUAAGUUUAUUAUUCUUGAAGCUUUGCUUACGCCACCCCUUGUUAUGUGGAAGAUCCUAUCAAAUAUAUCAGGAUGACCAUAGUGGAAUCUCACCCUCAAAGGAUUAGCCAAAAUACGUUGGCCAAUAGUUACAAAGCUGGUCUCCUGA